AUGAGAUGAGUAUGUAAGAUAUGUAAACAUUAUUAAAGGGACUAGUGAUCCAUUUAUUAAAGUGGCCAAUGAUUUCAAGUCUGUAUGUGGGCAGCAGCCUCUCUGUGUUAGUGACGGCUGUUUGACAGUCUGGUGUAUGUUUUAAUAUUAGUGUCUCUGUCUCCAGGUGUUGAAUAAGGAGAUAGAUGAAUGUGUUUUAUCCUGUGUGUGUUUCUCUCUCUCUCCUCCAGGUACUGUAACCAGGUGUUGAAUAAGGAGAUGGAUGAAUGUGUUUUAUCCUGUGUGUGUUUCUCUCUCUCUCCUCCAGGUACUGUAACCAGGUGUUGAAUAAGGAGAUAGAUGAAUGUGUUUUAUCCUGUGUGUGUUUCUCUCUCUCUCCUCCAGGUACUGUAACCAGGUGUUGAAUAAGGAGAUGGAUGAAUGUGUUUUAUCCUGUGUGUUUCUCUCUCUCUCCUCCAGGUACUGUAACCAGGUGUUGAAUAAGGAGAUAGAUGAAUGUGUUUAUAAUAUUAGUGUGUGUUUCUCUCUCUCUCCUCCAGGUACUGUAACCAGGUGUUGAAUAAGGAGAUAGAUGAAUGUGUUUUAUCCUGUGUGUGUGUGUUUCUCUCUCUCUCCUCCAGGUACUGUAACCAGGUGUUGAAUAAGGAGAUAGAUGGAUGUGUUUUAUCCUGUGUGUGUGUUUCUCUCUCUCCUCCAGGUACUGUAACCAGGUGUUGAAUAAGGAGAUAGAUGAAUGUGUUUUAUCCUGUGUGUGUUUCUCUCUCUCUCCUCCAGGUACUGUAACCAGGUGUUGAAUAAGGAGAUAGAUGAAUGUGUUUUAUCCUGUGUGUGUGUUUCUCUCUCCUCCAGGUACUGUAACCAGGUGUUGAAUAAGGAGAUAGAUGGAUGUGUUUUAUCCUGUGUGUGUUUCUCUCUCUCUCCUCCAGGUACUGUAACCAGGUGUUGAAUAAGGAGAUAGAUGAAUGUGUUUAUAAUAUUAGUGUGUGUUUCUCUCUCCUCCAGGUACUGUAACCAGGUGUUGAAUAAGGAGAUGGAUGAAUGUGUUUAUAAUAUUAGUGUGUGUUUCUCUCUCCUCCAGGUACUGUAACCAGGUGUUGAAUAAGGAGAUAGAUGAAUGUGUUUAUAAUAUUAGUGUGUGUUUCUCUCUCCUCCAGGUACUGUAACCAGGUGUUGAAUAAGGAGAUAGAUGGAUGUGUUUUAUCCUGUGUGUGUUUCUCUCUCUCCUCCAGGUACUGUAACCAGGUGUUGAAUAAGGAGAUAGAUGGAUGUGUUUUAUCCUGUGUGUGUGUUUCUCUCUCUCUCCUCCAGGUACUGUAACCAGGUGUUGAAUAAGGAGAUAGAUGAAUGUGUUUUAUCCUGUGUGUGUUUCUCUCUCUCCUCCAGGUACUGUAACCAGGUGUUGAAUAAGGAGAUAGAUGAAUGUGUUUAUAAUAUUAGUGUGUGUUUCUCUCUCCUCCAGGUACUGUAACCAGGUGUUGAAUAAGGAGAUAGAUGAAUGUGUUUAUAAUAUUAGUGUGUGUUUUCUCUCUCCUCCAGGUACUGUAACCAGGUGUUGAAUAAGGAGAUAGAUGGAUGUGUUUUAUCCUGUGUGUGUUUCUCUCUCCUCCAGGUACUGUAACCAGGUGUUGAAUAAGGAGAUAGAUGAAUGUGUUUUAUCCUGUGUGUGUGUUUCUCUCUCCUCCAGGUACUGUAACCAGGUGUUGAAUAAGGAGAUAGAUGGAUGUGUUUUAUCCUGUGUGUGUUUUCUCUCUCUCCUCCAGGUACUGUAACCAGGUGUUGAAUAAGGAGAUAGAUGGAUGUGUUUUAUCCUGUGUGUGUUUUCUCUCUCUCCUCCAGGUACUGUAACCAGGUGUUGAAUAAGGAGAUGGAUGAAUGUGUUUUAUCCUGUGUGUGUGUUUUCUCUCUCCUCCAGGUACUGUAACCAGGUGUUGAAUAAGG